AGAAACGAAACAGUGAUGUGGAGUAAAACUUAAAAAAGCGGUCCCAGUUCGAAUUGAAGGCUGAAAUUCGCCUUCAUGAAGUCGGAAUUGCUAGUAAUGGCAGGUCAGCAUACUGCCGUGAAUACGUUCCCGGGCCUUGUACACACCGCCCGUCACACCAUGAGAGUUGGAGAUACCCGAAGCCUGUGAGCUAACUUUUAGAGGCAGCAGUCGAAGGUAGAAUCAAUGAUUGGGGUGAAGUCGUAACAAGGUAGC
rnacentral:rRNA from 1 species